ensembl:snRNA U6 U6 spliceosomal RNA
GUAAUCCCUUCAGUAGCACGUAUAGUAAAAUUGGAACAAUAAAGAGAAGAUUAGCAUGGACCCUGUACAACGAUAACACACAAAUUUGUAAAAUUCAUUCAGAUUAA